rnacentral:rRNA from 1 species
UACGGGAGGCAGCAGUGGGGAAUAUUGCACAAUGGGCGCAAGCCUGAUGCAGCCAUGCCGCGUGUAUGAAAAAGGCCUUCGGGUUGUAAAGUACUUUCAGUCGUGAGGAAGGUGUUAAGGUUAAUAACCUUAGCAAUUGACGUUAGCGACAGAAGAAGCACCGGCUAACUCCGUGCCAGCAGCCGCGGUAAUACGGAGGGUGCGAGCGUUAAUCGGAAUUACUGGGCGUAAAGGGCACGCAGGCGGUUAAUUAAGUUGGAUGUGAAAUCCCCGGGCUUAACCUGGGAAUGGCAUUCAAGACUGGUUAGCUAGAGUCUUGUAGAGGGGGUAGAAUUCCAUGUGUAGCGGUGAAAUGCGUAGAGAUGUGGAGGAAUACCGGUGGCGAAGGCGGCCCCUGGACAAAGACUGACGCUCAUGUGCGAAAGCGUGGGGAGCAAACGAGGGAUUAGACUACC